UGCCAGCAGCCGCGGUAAUACGAAGGGGGCUAGCGUUGUUCGGAAUUACUGGGCGUAAAGCGCACGUAGGCUGACUGGUCAGUUGGGGGUGAAAUCCCGGGGCUCAACCUCGGAACUGCCUUCAAUACUGCCAGUCUUGAGUCCGAGAGAGGUGAGUGGAAUUCCUAGUGUAGAGGUGAAAUUCGUAGAUAUUAGGAAGAACACCAGUGGCGAAGGCGGCUCACUGGCUCGGUACUGACGCUGAGGUGCGAAAGCGUGGGGAGCAAACAGGAUUAGAUA
rnacentral:rRNA from 1 species